AAUAUACUCCCUCCGUCCCAAAAUUCUUGUCUUAGAUUUGUCUAAAUACAGAUGUAUCAAGUCACAUUUUAGUAUUAGAUACAUCCGUAUAUAGACAAAUCUAAGACAAGAAUUUUGGGACGGAGGGAGUACAUA
rfam:Triticum urartu cultivar G1812 contig93075, whole genome shotgun sequence.